rnacentral:rRNA from 1 species
AGGAUGAACGCUGGCGGCGUGCCUAAAACAUGCAAGUCAUACGGGCUACCUUCGGGUAGCCAGUGGCAAACGGGUGAGUAACACGUGGGAACGCGCCUUGGGGUGGGGAAUAACGCUGAGAAAUCAGUGCUAAUACCGCAUACGGUCUAACGACUAAAGCAGCAAUGCGCCCCGAGAGCGGCCCGCGACCGAUUAGCUAGUUGGUGGGGUAAUGGCCUACCAAGGCGGUGAUCGGUAGCUGGU